GUCCAAAUGGGUUAGACUUGAGUAGGUUGAAAAAAGACAUACAACCUUGGCAGGAACGGCGUUCCGCGGAAUAUAUGACUCAUGCUCCUUUAGGUUCUUUAAAUUCCGUGGGUGGUGUAGCUACCGAGAUCAAUGCAGUCAAUUAUGUCUCUCCUAGAAGUUGGUUAGCUACCUCUCAUUUUGUUCUAGGAUUCUUCUUCUUCGUAGGUCAUUUGUGGCACGCGGGAAGGGCUCGUGCAGCUGCAGCAGGAUUUGAAAAAGGAAUUGAUCGUGACCUUGAACCUGUUCUUUUCAUGACCCCUCUUAAUUGAGAUGAGACAGGAGAUCCAAUGCUUGAAUGAAGUACAAAUCACUUUGAUUCAAUCAUACAUCUUGGAAUCAGCUUAAGUAUUCCUUUUUUCUUUUUUUUUUCAACUCAUUUUAUCGAAUUUAUAUCGAAUCUAUUUUUCUGGCUUGGCUAGGUGGGAUAGCUGAGCAAUUCCCCUUUAUUUUGGAUAGAAGAUUGGGCAAAACCACUAAAGAAAAAAAUAUAUUCAAUUAGAAAAAAAAAGAGAGAGGGAUUCGAACCCUCGAUAGUUCUUUGUUCAAAACUAUACCGGUUUUCAAGACCAAGGCUAUCAACCACUCAACCAUCUCUCCGAAAGACUAUUUUUAUUUUAUUCCUCCGAAUAGAACAUGGCUAUAGGGGUGGAUACCCCCACUAUCUGUAGAAAGAUCUCAGGUGCGAACCCACCGGUCGAUCUAUCUAUCCGUAUAUAGAUAUAUGAUCUAGCAUGCCCAUUUGUGAAAUAAAAAAUAAAAUUCCAUUUCUCUCCUCUCUCCGCGCCACUCCAUGUACGAAUAAAGUGCAAAAGGGGGAGUAGUAAUAAGUCAUAUAGAAUCAAUGGAUUCGUGAUAAAGUAAAAUCCAAGAGUUCCGAAUCAAAUCUCUUUAGAAAGAAGAUCUUUUGUCUCAUGGUAGCCUACUCCAGUCCCCUUACAAAACUUUUGUUAUUGGGUUAGCCAUACACUUCACAUUUUUCUAGCGAUUCACAUGGCAUCAUAAGAUGAAGGAUUUUCCUUUUUUCAUACUACGACAUUGACUAAGCUAAGAGAAGGAUUUAGGACUGACGGAGAGACUGAGUCAAGCACUAUAGCACAAAGAUUAUCAUUCCCUUGCCUCAAAGAUUCAAAGCAAAAGAACCUUCCCCGCUACCUGGGGAGAAAGGAGCAACCUCUCUAUAGAAUGCAGUCAGAUGUUUGGGGUAGUGUAAGUGAUCAAGGGGUAGUAACUCAUAUCACGGGAGGAAACUUUUCUUAGCUAUUACCUUGACACCAAAGAAGAGUUCGACCCAAUGCUUUAUUUCUGUCCUAGUUGAUCCUGAUUCGACAUUAGAAGUAUAUUGAUUUUUCCCCAAUAACCAAAUACUUUUGUCUGUAAAUACUGCAUAUUAGAUUCUAUCUAUAAAUCGAUUUUCUUCCCUAUGAGUUAAAGUCUCAAUAAGAAUGCUAGUUCUUACUGUUCAUUAUGAUAUGAAUAUACCACAUCAAUUCGUUAUCUAUGGAUGAUGAGAUUCCAUUGACACAGAGCCAAUUCCAAUAGACUUAUUGGAGGGUCCCAUUGGCGUGCAUCCAGUAGGAAUUAGUCCAGGCCAGUAGCUGCUCCUGGCUUUCUCGGACAGCUAGAGCACCGACAGAUAGAGCGAACUGGAUUCUAUUUUUCAUUUGGUUUGGUUUAUUCUUUGACUUCUCUUCUCCCAAGAGAGACUUUUUCUUGCUCACGAAAAUCACCGGUUGGGUUGGUGGGAAAUUUACUAUUCAUUAUAGCAUGAAAACAUCUAGCGGUAUAAUCCCAUUUGCCAUAGCUAUUGCUAUAACAUUUAGAGAUGGUGGUGAAAAUCAAAGUAUGAGAGGUAGUCAAAUGGAAUCUUUGUUAGGAGAUAAGUAAGAGAGAAGGCGACACUAGCUAGCAGAACGGACGGAAUGAGAAAAAAGCUUGCUAGGCAGUCUACACAGAAGGGAAGUCACCAAACAUGGGAAAGAGAACCUUUUUCUUACUCGAAGGAACCACUACCAUAGGAUUAUUGUAGGAUACAUUCUGGGAAAAUCAAACUUCCAUCGAAGAGAAGCAAAUGAAAGGCUUUCAUCAAAAUUCUCGUAGAAUCGAGAAUGAAGUUUUCAUUCUGUACAUGCCAGAUCAUGAAUUAGUAACUGCUUCCAAUUAAAAAUCCCAAGAGAAUACUAUUAAAGACCUAGCAAGAUCACGUUCAUGGCGCUGGUCAUACCUAUUUUAAACUAGUUAAAUAAUAUCUUGACAUGAUAAAUAGUGAUGCCCACCUGUUCCAUACUUUCUUACUUGAUUUAAAGUUGGCAUCGAGUGCCUGCCUCACAUGCGACCUUCAGGUCUCUAAUGAAAGAGGAUGAUUGCACAUUACUAAGGCAAGGAAUAAGACGUCUGAGAAGGGAUGCCGAAAAAAGGCUUCAAUUCUCCUCCCUAUUAUUUGAUUAGUGUUGCCUGAAAAGAGUUCCCCAUAAGAGGGACAGUCAUAACAAGAUUAUGAUUAACGGUUUUAGAAUGGGGAUUCUAUAGGGACUUGGCGGCCCAUAAGGGGUUCAUACCACUAAAUGGAAGUAGACCAACAUAGGAAGAAAUGUGAAAGUAGGGGCUGCUAAGCGCCCAGACCUAGAAUUCAGUGAAAAUGAAGUUCUUGACGGGUACCUGCUGUGAGCACUAUAUAAUAAUAAUACUAUAAUAGCAACCUAUCUAAAAUAAAUAUGGAAGUAAGGCUGUAAAUGCCACAAGGUUCAUAACUAAAAACCAAUAUUGAAUACUAAAACACAUAUCUGAAAUACUCUAGUCUGAAAGACUCUAACUGUCAAAAUUAUAAAGCUGAUGGGACAAGCCCCCAACUAACUUCGACUACUGAAAACUGCACUAAAAUACUGAAAUAAUACUCUAUCCUUGAACUAUGAGGACUCACCACUAAGUCUGCUACUGAUAGGCUGGGCUGCUAAGUUCGGUCAGAAGCCCGUGCAUUUGAAACUAUGAUAUAAGACAUCAUGGCACAAUAGAAAGGUAUGCGUCAGUACUUUGAAUGUACUGGUAUGCUAAGUCAGGUAGGUAUAUAUGCAUAGGUUCAUGUGCAUGAACAAUAACUAACUGAGUAACAUGAACAUAACUGAAUGAGAGAAUAUGCAUGAAUACAUAAAUUGUAACUGAGAUCAUGUUAACACUGGUUACUGAGUUCUAAAUAUUAAUUAACUGAUAUCUGAGUUUACUGAUACUGUAAUACUGAUAAAUGAGUGACUAUUUUUGAUAGUCCUAAUUAAUUACUAGGUAACUAUUUCUGAUAGUCCUGAUUCUAUAAAACUGAAUUAAGUUCUAUACUGAGCUGGGUGACUGUAUCUGAUAGUCUUGAUUUUGUAAAACUGAACUAAGUUCUAUACUGAGACUGAAACUAAAAUUGAAACUGUGGGAGGUAAUCAUCUAACCAAUAUUCCCCUCUCUAAAUAGAUUGGGGUACAACCUGUAACCCCAGUUGGAAGGGUAUCAGUACUGUACCACGGGCAAAGACAAGCUGAGAGUUAACCCUCUCUGACAGGAAGCUCUUUUGUCAACCCUUGCUGGCAGGAAAACUCAUAUGAGAUGUAUCAACCCUAGUCUGGCAGGAAGAUAUCUUAACCUACAUUGGCUAUGUAGUUCUAUAGCAUAGGGAUUGAUACUAAGGGUCAAACCCUAGACUGGUAGGACUGCCCCCAUUCCUGGGUUCGCUCGAUACUGAAUCCUACUCCCAACUGAAUAGACACUGAACUGAUUUCUAGUCCAUACUAGGCUUGACUGAACUGUUAGUAGUCUUAUUAUCUAACUGAACUGAACUGAGUUUACUGGCUUCCGCUAACUGACGGAGUAGUACCGAAUUUGGUUAACUGACUAAGUUCACUAAGUUUUGAACUGAAUACUGAACUGAGACUGUGACUAAUUACUGAGUACUACUAUUCAUAACACUACUGCAUCUGUUUUGUAACUACUGUAGAUCUAGGUAAAUAGCUAAAUUUUUAGGUAUUGAAUACCCCCAGGACUCGAUAGCACGAAAUAUAAAGCAUAACACUGUGCACUUGUUCAUAACUCAUCCAUAGAGACAUUUUAUCAAACACUUAUAAGGCAUAAGUUUACACAUAUACUAGCAUGUCAUGAUUUUUCCCCAUUUAGUUCACAUGAGCACUUUAAUAAAUACUUGGGGAGCACUAAUAUGCACAUGAUACUAAACAAAAUAUAGGCAUCAUAACAUCAAUUCCCAAAUUCUCAAAUUCAAUGGCUUCAACAUAAAUUCACAUGAUACUACACACAUGAUAAUCAAUUCCAGAUGAAACUUGUAAUAAACUAUGGAUUAGAAACCCAAUUAACAUUAUAAUUAUGAAUACACUUAAAUGCAAUCAUGGAAAUCAUGAAAUCAAUCUACUUGAAGUUUAAGAAAAAGUUUCUUGAACUUCAAGGGUGAAAGGAACCCUUGGAUGAACACAUCAAGGGUGAAAGGAACCAUUGGAUGAACACUUCACAUACCUGGGUACUUGAAUUAAUAAAGGUUGAUGGUGCGUUCUUUAAUUUUAACCUUGAAUUAGAAGCCCAAGGGUUUUGUUCUUGAGUAAUUUUGAGAAUAGUGAAUGGAUUUUGCCUAAAAAGUGGCUAAAUCUCAUGUUUUGGGGGAUGAUAGAUGUGGGAAAAUGAUCCAAAUAUCCCUGAGGAUGUGUCCUUUUAAUGACUGAAAACUGACCUAGCGACGUGCAGACUGACAUGCCUCAACGAUGGGAUAGACGCGAUGGAUGAUGCGCCACAUUGAGUCCCCACCGAUUCACUAAAAAUUACACUAGGAGGCUAGGGAAAAUAUUCAUCGAUGCUAUAGGCAAUGUGGAGCAUUGAGAUUGUAUCGAUACACUGGUUUGGACUCCUAAACGUGCUUCAAAUGAUGUUCAAAAAAUCUAAAACUCUUCCGAGAACACCUACUGACAUUCCUGAUCAUGAAGCAACUUAAAGAUUGACCUUUAAUGGUCAUAAGGGUCAUGAGAUAAGAUCGCCAACUAUGAAGGCUAAAAUAACUCUAACUAUGAAUACUAAAAUUUUCUAAGUCUGGGACCCCUUAACAAGAUUUAAAGGACUAAAUUAAGAUUAGGAUUUUGUGGGGUCUUACAGUAUCUCCCCCUUGGCAAUAUUUGUCCUCGAAUAAGACUGACUAAGAUGGGAGAACUGAUAUACUAAAAUUACAAAAUGUACAUGCACAACUAAAGCAUGAUUUUAUGGAUGAGACUACUAAUAUGCUGAAUUAGCAUAACUAAAGCAUGAUUUCAUGGCUAAGACUACUGAUAUACUGAAUUAUCAUACUGAACAUGCGUAACUGAUGCAUGAUUUCAUAACUGAUAUUACUAAUCAGCUGAGUUUGUAUACUGAACAUGCAUAUCUGAUGCAUAAGUACAUGACUGAAUAGAUUCAUGAAUGCACAACUGAGUAUGCAAUGUUACUUGAUACCAAGUUGGUAACUACAUCUUAACAUGAAACUGAGUAAAUUUAUGAAAACUAUUACCUUGAGCUGAGUCUGAGUUUGUGGAGAAGAGGCGAGAAUACUUGGUACGCAUAUCUACUUCUUCUUCCCAAGUAGCUCCCUUAACAUACUGAUUCCGCCAAAGAACUUUUCUAAAGGGACUUCUUUAUUCCUCAGUCUGUAAAUCUAAAAAUCAAGGAUUUCGAUUCGAAUUUCCUCAUAAGAGAGGCUGUUCUGAACAUCUAUACCCUCUACAGGAACUACAACUGUUGGGUCACCUAUGCAUUUCUUUAUUAAGGAGACAUGAAACACUAGGUACACUGAAGCUAAGUCUAAAGACAACUCAAGCUCAUAAGCUACCUUUCUGAAAUGGCUGAGAAUUCAGUAAGAACCUACAUAUCAAGGACUGAGCUUCCCCUUCUUGCCAAACCUCUUCACUUCUUUCAUAGGAGAGGUUUUCAAAUACACAUAGUCACCAAUCUCAAACUCGAGAUCCUUUUUGCAUCUCAGCAUACAAUUUCUGUCGGCUCUGAGCUGUCAAAGGUCUUUUCCUGACCAACUAAACUUUUUCUAAGGUAUCAAAUACCAAGUCAGGCCCUACCACUGUGGCCUCACCCACUUCAAACCAACCAAUGGGAGAUAUACAUCUCCUCCCAUAGAGUACCUCAAACGGAGCCAUCCGAAUGCUGGAAUGGUAACUGUUAUUAUACGUAAACUCAAGCAAUGGCAAAUGGUCAUCCCAACUACCUUUAAAGUAAAUGGCACAUGCUCUUAGCAUAUCUUCUAGAGUCUGGAUGGUCCUUUCUACUAGACCAUCUACCUGAGGGUGGAAGAUUUUACUAAGGUAAACUUGGGUACCAAGACCCUUUUAGAAGGCUUUCCAGAAAUGAGAGGUAAAUUAGGUACCUCUAUCUGAGAUGAUGGAUAAUAGAAAUCCAUACAAUCUGGCCAAUUCUCUGACAUAGAGAUUGGCAUAAUCCUUGACUAAAUAAGAGUUAUGGACUAGUAAGAAAUAAGCUGACUUGGUCAUCCUAUCUAUGAUAACCCAAACUGAAUCAUUCUGACGAUGAGUACGGGGUAAACCCAUCACAAAGUCCAUGUUACUUCUUCCCAUUUCCAUAUGGGAAUACUGAACUCCUAUAUGUACCCACUAGGCUUUUGAUUUUCAAUCUUAACCUGCUGACAUGUUGAGCAUUUAGCUACAAACCCUGUAAUAUCUCUCUUUAUUCCACUCCAUCAAUAGACUUCCCAUAAGUCGUGGUACAUCUUAGUGGCCCCUGGAUGAAUAGAUUAGCGUGUGCCAUGUACUUCUGCAUGAAUCUACUGCCUUAAGUCAUCUAUACCUGGCACACAUAGCCGACCCUGGCAACGCAAUACACCAUCUCCCCCUUGGGAGAAAACCUCUAUUUUUUACCUCUAACUGACUCUUUCAACU
rnacentral:lncRNA from 1 species